rnacentral:rRNA from 1 species
AGGGUUUGAUUAUGGCUCAGAUUGAACGCUGGCGGCGUGCUUAACACAUGCAAGUCGAACGUGAAAGUCCUUCGGGGCGAGUAAAGUGGCGCACGGGUGAGUAACGCGUGGAUAAUCUACCCUUAAGAUGGGGAUAACGGCUGGAAACGGUCGCUAAUACCGAAUACGCUCCCGAUUUUAUCAUUGGGGGGAAAGAUGGCCUCUGCUUGCAAGCUAUCGCUUAAGGAUGAGUCCGCGUCCCAUUAGCUAGUUGGCGGGGUAACGGCCCACCAAGGCAACGAUGGGUAGCCGGUCUGAGAGGAUGACCGGCCACACUGGAACUGGAACACGGUCCAG